ensembl:lncRNA
AUGUUUGUUCCGCUGGGAGGAUUUCCUGCACUCAUGCGGUCCCCCGUCUCCAGUCCAGCCGCGCGCUGUUCAGUCUCCAGCCCAGCCGCGCGCUGUUCAGUCUCCGGCCCAGCCGCGCGCUGUUCAGUCUCCGGCCCAGCCGCGCGCUGUUCAGUCUCCGGCCCAGCCGCGCGCUGUUCAGUCUCCGGUCCAGCCGCGCGCUGUUCAGUCUCCGGUCCAGCCGCGAGCUGUUCAGUCUCCGGUCCAGCCGCGAGCUGUUCAGUCUCCGGUCAAGACGCGAGCUGUUCAGUCUCCAGCUCAGUCGUGUUUUGCCCAGUCUCCAGCUCAGUCGUGUUUUGCCCAGUCUCCAGCUCAGUCGUGUUUUGCCCAGUCCCCAGUUCAGCUGUGUUUUGCCCAGUCUCCAGCUCAGUCGUGUUUUGCCCAGUCUCCAGCUCAGUCGUGUUUUGCCCAGUCUCCAGCUCAGUCGUGUUUUGCCCAGUCUCCAGCUCAGUCGUGUUUUGCCCAGUCUCCAGCUCAGUCGUGUUUUGCCCAGUCUCCAGCUCAGCCGUGUUUUGCCCAGUCUCCAGCUCAGUCGUGUUUUGCCCAGUCCCCAGUUCAGCCGUGUUUUGCCCAGUCCCCAGUUCAGCCGUGUUUUGCCCAGUCCCCAGUUCAGCCGUGUUUUGCCCAGUCUCCAGUUCAGCCGUGUUUUGCCCAGUCCCCAGUUCAGCCAUGCUCCGCUCAGGCUCUAGUGCAGCCCUGUCACGCUCAGGUUCCAGCCCCAGCCCAGUCCAGAUCCCAGUCCAGAUCCCAGUCCAGAUCCCAGUCCAGUCGAGCCCAGCCCAGGUUUCAGCCCAGUCGAGCCCAGCCCAGGUUUCAGCCCAGUCGAGUCUAGUCCAGGUUUUAGCCCCGCCGAGUCACGUCCCAGUCCAGUCCGGUCACGUCCAGGCCCCAGUUGAGUCGAGUCACGUCCCAGUCCAGUCCGGUCACGCUCAGGCCUUGUUCCAGCCAGAGGGCACCGUCCGUCUGUCGAGUGUUAGCCCCACCCAAUCAGGCCCGACGUCUACUCUGUCGAGCUCGGUAGCUGUAAGCAGUCAUGUCGGCUCCGGAGGGGACGCCGUUCCAGUCCCUGUCGGCCAUGUUGCGGCCGUUCCAGUCCCUGUCGGCCAUGUUGCGGCCGUUCCAGUCCCUGUCGGCCAUGUUGCGGCCGUUCCAGUCCCUGUCGGCCAUGUUGCGGCCGUUCCAGUCCCUGUCGGCCAUGUUGCGGCCGUUCCAGUCCCUGUUCCUGUUCCUGUCGGCCAUGUUGAGGCGGUUCCUGUUCCUGUCGGCCAUGUUGAGGCCGUUCCUGUUCCUGUCGGCCAUGUUGAGGUCGUUCCUGUUCCUGUCGGCCAUGUUGAGGCCGUCCCUGUCCCUGUCGGCCAAGUUGAGGUCGUUCCUGCCCCUGGUCCUGUCCCCGUCGGCCAUGUUGAGGUCGUUCCCGCUCCCGUUCCUGUCGGCCAAGUAGAGGUCAUUCCAGUUCCCGUUCCUGUCGGCCAAGUAGAGGUCGUUCCAGUUCCCGUUCCUGUCGGCCCUGUAGCGGUCGUUCCCGUUCCUGUCGGCCCGAGAGAGGUCGUUCCCGUUCCUGGCGGCCCGAGAGAGGUCGUUCCCGUUCCUGGCGGCUCGAGAGAGGUCGUUCCCGUUCCUGGCGGCCCGAGAGAGGUC